AACGCGAAGAACCUUACCAAAUCUUGACAUCCCCCUGACCGGACAGUAAUGUGUCCUUUCCUUCGGGACAGGGGAGACAGGUGGUGCAUGGUUGUCGUCAGCUCGUGUCGUGAGAUGUUGGGUUAAGUCCCGCAACGAGCGCAACCCUUAUCCUAAGUAGCCAGCACGUCAAGGUGGGCACUCUGGGGAGACUGCCGGGGAUAACCCGGAGGAAGGUGGGGACGACGUCAAAUCAUCAUGCCCCUUAUGAUUUGGGCUACACACGUGCUACAAUGGCGUAAACAAAGGGAAGCGAAGCCGCGAGGCGGAGCAAAUCCCAAAAAUAACGCCUCAGUUCGGAUUGUAGUCUGCAACUCGACUACAUGAAGCUGGAAUCGCUAGUAAUCGCAAAUCAGAAUGUUGCGGUGAAUACGUUCCCGGGUCUUGUACACACCG
rnacentral:rRNA from 1 species